GAGCUUACGUUUGUAGCUCACAUACUAAAAUUCAAACGAUGCGGGGGAAAUUAGCGCGGCCCCCGAGAAAGGGUAACAUAUAAAUUCAUGAAGUAUUCCAUCUUUUU
ensembl:snRNA LOC120096760 U6 spliceosomal RNA